GUAGAGGGAGAGGAUGAAGGAGAAGCAGGCUCCCCACUGAGCAGGGAACCAGAUGCAGGGCUGGAUCCCAGGACCCUGGACAGAUGCUGUACUGAGGGAGCCACCCAGGCACCCUGUGAGAGAUUUUAGACCUAGGAUGCAGAUGUGUGGAGGGCCAUGGCUGACUUGAAUGCUGUUGGGGUCAUCUCACAGCACAUGGCAUACACAAUUUAUCUUGCUUCCUGUCUUUAUAACAACAUCUUGGUUUUCAUGCUGUCUUAGAACAAGUAGAACUUGACUUACAUAUAAGAUCUGAAGGAGUCAAGCUGUUUCUUCUGUGGCUUCAAGCACUUCAGACAAACUGCAGAAGAGCAGGUGCUGAUUUUUGCUUGCCUUGUGCCUGGUUUCCCAGCGAUCAUGUCAUCCAGAGGGACCUGUACAGUGGAGACACUCAUCAGUCCUAGCCCUGUUGUGGCGGAUGGUGAGGAACAUUUUAGCCAGCCUUACAGGUUGAAAUGACUCUGGAAGUUCUCUUGGAUUCCUCAGCUUGUCAUGAUCCUGAAGAGAAAUCUUUAUUUCAUAGAUGGGUUCAGAGGAGGAAUUAUCCCCUGCUCAUGUUCACAGUAAUGUCUAACAGACAUUAGAAUAGAAAGAAUCAGAGCCUUUUUUUAUAUGAAAUGAGGACAGGAGACAUUUACUGAAGUUGUGAAAACAGGAAUGGAAGGUAGGACUCAGAUGUUGGGAACAGCAGGAAGUAGAGACACAUCAUGUACGUGGAGUGUUUUCUUGGCUGUGAAUGAGAUUUAAAUCUGCCAUCCAAAACUACUGUUUAUUGUCCUCAUCAUGAUUGUUUCAUGAGUGGACAUUCAUCUGCUCACCCAGCUGUGUAUUUUCAUGCUGCAUUCAUGGAAAGACAGUAGCUGCUUCCUGGGAAAGUCAUGACAGCCAUCUGUGUCCCGUGAGUUUUUAAGGAACUUGCCAGUUAGGGCCAUUGAUUGAUUAAUGCACAUCACUUUAUUGCCCAAUGACAGGUACUUGAUCCUUAGGCUGACCAAAGCAGAAUUUGGCAGAGAGAAGAAUGGUUUAGAGGGAGAGGUGGCUUCAUGGGACUUUGUACCAUAUUUCCAACCCCUUGAUGCUCACUGGCCUGGUGUGUAGUGUGAGCAGGUUCCAAAGGAGGGGCAGAUGUAUUUUAAUGAAGGCCAUUUUUUAAAAACCCUUUGAACGUUGGUGAAAGAACUCCUUUUUUUUCCCCACUCUGGAGCAAAGAUAUAUCCACAAGAAAUCACUCCGCUCUUGCCGGCCAUAUCAGGGGAAAGGAUCGCUGAGGACCAAACAUGCUUUUUUCUUCAAGUACUAUUGAUCUGUAUGGUUAUUCAGGUAAAAGCAAAAUCAUGCAUAAUUCAGGAAUGGUCUUCCUUUUGAUGGGAAAGAGGAAACAUUGCUUAUUUUCUCCCAGCUCAUCCAUAUUUUGCAUGUUUGUUUGUUUUUUUGAGUUGACUCUUUAUGAUAUUUCACUAGAACUUGAAUAUGUGCCAUAUCACAUCAGCA